CGAUAUCCUGCAACCAAAAGGAUUAGAGAACAUUGAGUGUUUUUUGUGUGUGUGUUUUUUGAGCGAUUUUGAGUGUGAGCCAGUAUCAUAUAAAAAUCGGAUCUUUUGAUAGAAAGGUUAGAGAUUCAAAAAGCAACACACGUGAUUAUUAGGAAAAUCAUCGAUUUUGGCGGAUUAAAUCAUAAGUUGGGAGAAGAACAGUGUAAAAAUGAGUUUAUUUCACCAAAUCGGAUCAAAGUUUUUAAAUUAUCACUUAAAUAGAUGUAAUGAAAGAGUUCGAUAAAGUGAUUCGAACGUCAAAAAGAGAUGAAAAACACGAACGGUCUCUAAAUAGUCCACAGCAAUGUCAUCUCGAGAAGCAAAAGGGUGCUUGAGAUUUAGUAGCUCGGCCGUUUUCUUGGUCAACGGAGCAUGCUCAAAGGAUGAAAUCUCUUUAGGAAUAAAAUCUCUUCCCGUAAGAGGAUGCACUCAUGACAAUAAAGUGUUAAAAAUCGAUUUCAGAAUCGUUUUCAAAAACAGUUUCUCAACCUGAUCGAAUCCAAGCCUGUGCCAUUAUCAUUGGACGAAGAUUUAAGUAAAUCUCCUUCUUUAUCGAUUCUUUAAAUCGAUUCGUGGAUCGAAAAAAAACGAAACCUGAUCUUGAUUGUGCUAAGGAUGUUCGAUUACAAGGAUGAUAUGUACACCUAGAUUGACCCAGUUAUUGUCACUCGAUUCUUGGGACGAACAAGCUUCGCUCUGGAACUUUCCCGAUAGAAGUUUCUUCUAUCCUUGUUUUUUAAGGAAAUUAAUCGAUCCUGGAAUAAUAUCGACGUAACUUCGAUGUGAAACAAAAACGGCUAAAUAGUCCGAGGUAACGAAUCGAUGAAUUUUUAAAUAGGUGAGGUGGAAGAAAGUUGAAGACGUGUCGGAUGAAACUGAUUUAAAAGUCUUCAAAGGAUACUUUGCAACAACUUUGCUUCCUCUUAAUUUGUUUUCCAACGAAACGGUGGUUUCUCUCGCGAUCACACUCUCGACGAUUCUGUUCCUUAAUUAAUGAUAUAUAAUAUAAUGAUACAGAAAUAUUUCGUUGAUCUGUUUUAUUUUUUAAACGAUAAUAACUCGCAAUUUAUACUUAAUUUCAACUAUCAAAUCAUUGGUCUUAUAAUUGUUGAACCAAUUAUUCACUCCUCUAUUUGGAAAAAAAUUUUCAGGUAUCAUCUCCCAUUGGAACAUUAAGGAGAGAUUAUUCAAAAGAAAAAAAAAACUCUAAGCCAUAAAUAUUUAUUAUUACAUAGAUCUUAUAAACUGAAGAUCUGUCAGAAAUUGUUUCAAGGAUUCCAGAACCAGUAACAGGAUUUACUUAUUCGAAAUCUCUUCAGAAUAAUUUCUCUCUCGAUAUCUCGAAAUUUUCACCAGGCUUCACGAUUGUUUUCGAGGAGGAGUGUGAAACGAGAUGAAAUUUUGAAUUUCUUAAUCUCUUAAUUAAUCCUUGGCGAACAAACGGAGCUGUGCAUGAGCUGGCGAUCGAGCUUCGUUAAUUAUAAGUUGGAACUUGGGACGGCGAAGUUGCGCGUUGUCGAUUAAGCUGCAAAGUUCGCUAAAUAACAUUAGAAUGCCGGAAACACGGAUGGCGAAUGAGGCGUGGACGGAGGCGGGGGGAGAGAGAGAGAAAGAGAAAGUUGGACCCCGGUUGUUGGACCAAGUUUAACCAAGCAAGUUUCGGGCCCGGUUAAUUGUGUUAGUUCCGACACAACACAGGGGAAAGUAUACGGUUCAGAUAUUGCAGAAACUUGCCGGCUAAAAGGGACAAUUUCGGUUCGAGAUUUCCAAGUUUCGAAACCUGUUACGAAAAUACUAGUAUAGAAAUUGCAGUAUGGAAUAUGAGUGUGGCACAUAUUUUUGAGCGUUCUGAAAAAAAGAAGAAAAUUAAAUCGACUAAUUAUCAUUUACUUUGCAAACUUGAAUAGUGCUCGAGAUGAAUGUCGAGAAGUAUUGAUCUAUGAGUGGAGAAAACAUUAAAACGAGAUAUCUCGUGUCGAUCGAAAUUUUUUGUUCGUGGAUAAAAAAGUAUCAAAUUUCAGGAUAGGUAAAAUUUUUGUUGAAUUUAUACGUGUGAAUUCAUAUCUUGUAUAUUUACGUUCGUGAAUCGGAUGUCAAAAUGUUGAUGAGGAAGCGAAUGAGAAAUUCGAGUACGCAAUAUAUAUAUAUAUAUAUCAUAUUUUAUAUAUAUAUA